rnacentral:rRNA from 1 species
CCUACGGGAGGCAGCAGUGGGGAAUAUUGCACAAUGGGGGAAACCCUGAUGCAGCGACGCCGCGUGAGUGAAGAAGUAUUUCGGUAUGUAAAGCUCUAUCAGCAGGGAAGAAAAUGACGGUACCUGAAUAAGAAGCCCCGGCUAACUACGUGCCAGCAGCCGCGGUAAUACGUAGGGGGCAAGCGUUAUCCGGAUUUACUGGGUGUAAAGGGAGCGUAGACGGCAGCACAAGUCAGGAGGGAAAUGCCGGGGCUUAACCCCGGAACUGCUUUGGAAACUGGGCAGCUAGAGUGCAGGAGAGGUAAGUGGAAUUCCUAGUGUAGCGGUGAAAUGCGUAGAUAUUAGGAGGAACACCAGUGGCGAAGGCGGCUUACUGGACUGUAACUGACGUUGAGGCUCGAAAGCGUGGGGAGCAAACAGGAUUAGAUACCCCUGUAGUC